CGUUGAUCGGGAGUGCCUGAAAUAAGAAGAGAGUAAUCUAUGACAGGAAUGGAGCCUUCUGGGACACAAAUUACUUGGUCAUGGAGAUCAGGAGUGAAGGUGUAAGUGGCAGGGAUGGAGGUGAGACCAGGAGAUUCAGCUAACGUUUUGAUGCUUGUUAUCUUGGUAGGUUGACUAGGAAAUGCUUGGGAGGGAAGAAGGGAAGCUGUUUCAGCAGCCAUUGAGAGAGGGAGAGGAAGUGAGAGAGAGCUGAAUGAUUUGGAUGUGGAUAUGCACACUCAUCUAAUUAAGGCACUCUGAUAAGUAUCAUUUUUGUAUAUGGACAAGGACUUGCUUGUCUGCCGGCUUCACGUCAACAGGCAAUUUUGUAGCUUUGUUUCUCUGUUCUUUCAUCAAGUGUGGACAAGGACUAGGUUGUUUGGUGCCUUCCAAUCAGCUGGUAAUUUGUAAAUUUGUUUAAGAGAUGGUGGACUCCCACAGUUGUGGACUAAAGUAACGUUUAUGAUUAGUAAUAUCUUCUGUUUUUUUAUGUUAAAUUAUGCUUAUUAAAUUUUUUUAUUUUUUUAGAUGGUUUUAAAUUAAUAUUUUUUAAUUAUUUUGAUGUGUUAAUAUUAAAAAUAAAAAAAUUAUUUUAAUAUAUUUUCAAGAAAAAAAAACUUUAAAAGCAACAACUAACACAUUCAUAAAUAAACUUUUUAGGUGUUUUUUAAAAAUAUAUUUAUUUUUUAAAAAAAUAUUAAAUUUAGUUUUUUAUUAUUUUUCGAUAAUUUUAAUAUAUGAUAUUAAAAAUAAAAAAAUUUAAAAAAAUUAUUUAGAUUUCCAUACAAAAAUUACUAAAUUUGGUCCCAACUUUUUUUACAGGUUGCAUAUAUUGCAAUAUCCAUCAUCAACGUGUCUUUGAAUUCCCAGGCUCCAGCAAUAGAAACUUAUAUCCACAGAAGCUAUUCAACUGCAUACCGUUUUCAAUCCAAAAAUACAGGAAAAAUCACAAUACUUCGAGAGCUGAUAUGCGCGGCUUUGACACUCCUAGAGGACAUGUAAUAGGUGUUAUACCAACCUGACAUUUCCCAGCAUCUGUACUAAGAGUCACCAAUUCAAUUGGCAGUUCAAAGGAUUCAAGAAACAUAUUAUAGCAACAUCCUGAAAACUGCUUGAUGCAAUUCCUUAUGACCUGAUAGAUACAUUCUAACAAAGUGCUAGUGUUGGACUUGAAUCAAUAACAGGUAUCAUCAUGAAGUUAAUGCCAACUAAACUACAAUGCAGACACCAUAAACAUCUCAAUGUAAGUUUCAUGCAUCAACAGUGCAAGAACUCAAUACCAAAACACAACAGAUAUUUCAGUAAUCCCAUCAAGAUUUUUUCUACAAUUUCUACACUUUAAAGCACACAAUCAUUUUCUGUGGGAAAAAUUCAUAUAACCAAGAUGAUACUCCAGCCAUUCCUUACCAACACUAAAUAUCUUUGCUUGUUCAUAGAAGAAUUAGCCAGAAAAUGAAUAGCCCACAUGAGAGAAACAUCAAACCUGAAAGCAUAAAAUCCUAAUCAAACCUAAGCAUGUUGUAGAAAUCUGCAAAGACUCGAACUUUACACAAACAUGUUGAAAUUCAACAAGCAAAAUCUGUCUUAAAUAGAAACCCAGAAGAGUUAAAGUGAUUCUCGUUCUUACUUGUGUAUAACGUUGUGAUUUUGGAGAAACUGAGGUGAGGAAGAGAGUUUUGCGUGGCGAAAGGCUAGUGCUUAUUAGUUUUUCAGAAGGAGCUGUGAUUUUUUACAGCAGAAGAAAGGCGGGGAUUUUAGCAGGUGGUAGUGUUGGGAAUUGAGAGUAAUUAUCAAGGAUAAAAUAGGAAACCAGGUAGCGAAGUCGUAAGCGACAUGCCGUUUAUAUCAACUGAAGUGAACUACAUGUAGUUCCCUGUUUGUUUAAAUUGCUUUUCUGCAAACUACAUGUCAUUCAUUCAAAAUUUGCUUACAGCCUAUCCCAGUCUAAGUUAUUUCCUCUCCUGCCAGGAUAGUAUUCAUUUUUUUUAAUCUAUAUUUUUUACAAUUUUAAUUUCAUCAUAUUUUUAGGGUUUAUAUUUAUUUUAAAUUGAAAUUAUAAUUUUUUAUAAUUUAUUUUUUAUGAGAUUAUCUCAGAUUAUGACCAAAAGUGCAAGUUUGAUGGAUUAACUCGGAAAAAAAUUUAAUUGAUUUUUUUUUCUCAAUUUUAUAUUUUAACAUUGAGUUAAUUUGAAAUUAGAUUUCAUGAUUUUUUUCGGUCUGGUUUCUAUGAGGUUAUCUCAUCUCAUGACUCGGGUCACGAGUUUAGCGAGUUAAUCUUGAUUACCUCGAGUUAUUUUUUUAUCUUUUUUUUAAUCAAUUUUUUUUCAAUCUUAUCUUUCAAUAUUUGAUUGAUUAAUAAUUAAACUUCACAAUUUGUAUUAAUUUAUUUUCUAUUAGGUUAUCUUAAUUUGUACCCGGGUUACGAGCUUGAUAGGUUAAAUCGGGUUGACUUGGGUCAUUUCCUUGAAUCCUUUUUUAAUUGAUUUAUUUUUCAGUUUUAUCAUUCAAUAUUGAAUUUAUUAGAAAUUGAGUUUCGUAAUUUGUUUUGGUUUGCUUACUGUAGGGUUAUCAUGAUCUCAUAACUUGGUAUGUGGAUUGACAAGUGAACUCAUAUUGACCCGAAUAGAUAUAAUAUAUUGUCAUCUUAAUAUUUAUUAAAACAAUCUCAUCUUAAAUAUUUAUUUUGAGUUAAAAUAUAUUUUUACCGAUUAUUUGGAUUGUUUUUAAACCUGUUAAGAUGAAUAAGUCACAUUAUAUCAAUUUCUAUAUAAUUUAAUUUUUUUAUAUUAAAAAAAUAUUAGUAACAUUUAAAUAUUUUAUUUUACAUUAAAAACAAUUCAUCCGACUAGCAACGGGACGCAAACCAAAAUGAUGUACUUGUAUCUCGGAAAAAUCUGAUGGUAUUAAUUCGAGAAAUUAUUAUAUAAGCAUACGUAUUCAUCCCUACCAAAAAAUUCUAAUAAUAUUAACACCGGAGAAAUUAUUACACGAAUGCAGUUCAGGAGAACAAAACAUUGAUACAUAAUUUCGUGCUGGAUUCUGCAGGGAGAAAACCGACAUGACAACAUCACCGUUGUUUGCCUUAUUGCUGGCCUUAUGAGAUAAGAAGAGAAAGGAAAAGUAAAAUCAAACUAGAAAUGGUCUUAAUCUCAAUAAACAACUAUUGAAUCAUCGUUCCUCAAGCAAACAUCCUUAAUUCAGAAGCAUGAUUAUUUGUUUUUAGGUUCUGUUGGGUCUCAAUUAUCAGCAGAGAUAAAGAAUGUUCAGAAGCGUCAUGGUUUCUGAAUGUGCAAAACUUCUAGUAUAAUGCUUCUUCUUCUUCUUCUUCUUCUUCUUCUGUUGGAGCUCACCAUAGAAGUAAGAAAAGAAGCCCCAGAGAGACAGAACAAGAGAAAUUGCCUUUUCAGCAUGGAACUUCUCAUGGUAGAACAGCACAGCUAGAGACUGUCACUGGCAGCAGGGUGGCAAUUAUAAUACCAGAAAGCAAUGAGGAGCCGCAGAAAGUCACACCAAUGGCUCCCAUGAAGAAGCAUUGCCACAAGAUUGCACUAAAAAUAAUCGCCACGUGAUAUUUUUCUUGCCCAAGUUCACAUGCACUUGCCUCCUUUGGAAUUUCCUGCAUUAAAAAGUAAAAGACACUCUCCGAAGGAUUGGAUUGCCUGCAUUAAUAAGCAACUAAUUAUUAUGUGUGCGUGUAAGAGCAUGUAUGCCGUAGAGACUGGCCUGAAAGUCCUAGUGUACAAACAUCCCAGCAGCACAGAAUGCAGUCGCGAAGAAAGACUUAACCAUCUGAAUCUCCACAACCAAAGUAUAGGUGAUGGUUUGCUUAGCUUUUUUGUAUGUCAGCUCAACUACUGGUAGCACAAACCCAUAAAGUGCUGCAGUUCCAAGAGUCAUGAAAACUCCCAAGAAGUACUGCUUGUUGGUUUCAUGAGCAGGGCGAUCGGAACUUGUGUGAAGAACUAGUAUGACAGCUCCAAUGGUCAACAAGAAAAUUGCAUUGAUGGUAAAAGAUGGGAACUUUUGCUCGACCAAAACAAAAGCAAAAAUCAGCAGUAUAAGCUAACUGGGUGGCAAUUAUAAAAGCAGAAGUGGAAACAGGAAGGAGAGAAACACCAUAGGCGGAAAAGAAAUCAUCCAAGGCCAGUUAGAACACCGAGAACAGCAGAAGCUAGGAAGAGCCUAGGGCUUACAUAGAAGAGCUUGGUCGUAGCACCCUCCUUGCUUCGGCGAAAUAACAUGUAUCAAUGAGAGGAAAUAGGACAAAUGGCCAACCAACAGUUUGCAGAAAGCUUGAUAUCCAAACACUCUUGUCUCUUGCCACCCUUUAAGAAACUAUAGCCGCUGGAUAAGAGGGCCGCCGCAGUUUCCGAGGGCCAGCAAUGCACCAUUCAAUAUGAGUAGGGAUUUCUUCAGGACUUCAUUCAUUUUCUCUGCUCCUGCUAAUGUUGGGUUACUACUACUGCUAUUCUCCAUCUCUGUGUGCCCACUCUUUAGGCCUUAACAAUCACUGCAAAUCAUAAAAUGGGACUCCGAGAAAAUGAUAUUGGAAAAAUAUUCUAAACAGGAUUAUGAGGUUUGAAAUCUAACUUAGCUGCAAUUGACAGGUUAAAAUUCUUUGAAGAGACAAUGGACCUUUAUUUUGCAGCUCCCUAACACUCUUAUCGAUUGCAGUAACCUAAAUGGAGAAUGAACACCUACAAGGCCGCCAUCACUCAAUAUUAAACUUUUAUUUUAAUACAUGACUUACUAUAGAGUUACCUCUGUUGAACUUAAAAAUGGGCAAAUCAGGAUUUCCUAGGCUGCCUGACAGUCACUACCUCAACAUCAAAUGACACCUGAAGAGCAAAGAACAGCCCAAAAACCCCAUUUGGAGAAAUGGAAAAACAAGGAUGAAAAGAAAAAUAUAGGUCUUCAUCAAGUAUUAAUCUUUGAAGUUAAUUUUGUUUGGUAGGAUGACUCUUCAUAAUACUGUAAAUUGGACAAGAUCCAGUGUGACAAGUCUCUGCUUUUACAUCAAACAAUUAUAUUAUUACAGAAAACUCUAAAUGAGAUGCGAAAACUACACCCGCUAUAUACCAGAACAGAACCAGCUGCAUGGUCUAAAACCAAAACAAGAGGAGAACGUGUCGUCUUAGAUGUGGUUGAGCUACAAAUCUCUUGCUAUCACGUCAAAAAUAUGUGCCCGAUGGGCAAUGGCAUUACUGGAAGUCAAUGAAACAAAAAAAUGUUAUACAGUGGCUAUCUACUGUUCCGGCCGGCCGGGUCUGAUUCAAAACUAAACAUAUUAAACCGGAUCUGAUCCAGUUAAAAAAAAAAUUAAUUUUUAUUUUAUUUUUAAUUGUGUUUUAUUCGAAAAAUUAUAGUCCUUGUCGGAUGGAUUUCGUACGUGAUGAAAUUGUAGAUAGUUUAAUGAAACAAUAAAAAAUACUUGAUAUAAAUAUUAUUUAUUUCAUGAUGUAAUAGCAAUAGUUAAAUCUAUAAUAUUUAAAUUAAAAAUCAUCAAUAUUAAUAUAUAUAUAUAUAUAUAUAUAUAUAUAUAUAUAUUUUUUAAUUACUUUAUAUCCUCAAUUUCAAAAGCAUUCUUUUAACCAAUUAAACUACUUUUUAUUCAACCUCAAUUUCAACCACAGUUUUAAUCAAAUAUAUAUAAAUAUCAAACCAACCUCAAUCAAAAGUACUUUUUGUAAAAUAACUUUUUUCAAAUCACAACCACAAAAAUUAUCACAAUACCAAACACACUCGUCUCUACUUGGACUGUGGAUUUUCUCGUUUAUGAAGACUUGGAUUAGGAGUAUUUUUAUCUUUUACAUUAUCAUUUUACCAAAAAAUUAAAAGCCUUUGAUGUAGAGAUAUUUUAGUCUUUUUAUAUGCUUAUUGGUAAUUAAAAGAUUGAACGGAUGUAUAUUAAUCUUUUUUAAUUUUAAUUGUACAGUAAAAAAAAACUAUUGUACCUUAAGAUAAAAAAAAAAAUAAACUUGUUAACCAAGGGAUUUUUUUGAUAUUUUACAAACUUUUGAAUAGUAAAGAUACUUGUUUACCUUAAAGGUUAGAAAAUAAUUGAGUUGCUGGCCAAGAGCAUUUUGGGGUUUUCACUUCUUAAGCUAUAGAAAAAAUAAGUAUUUACCCUUAUAAAAGACAAAAGGUCAUUUAUGCAUUGAGGGGUGUUUUUGUAUUUUUAUAUUGAUUUAUUUGUUAUUUUCAGUUUAACGAGAAACAUUUUAGUUAUUUUCCAUUGACCUUUUUUUUUUUUUGAAAAGGUGCUGGCGCAUAUGGUUAUGCAUUAGCGCGUUGGUGGUGUUCGUGUUCUUUAGGCGACGCAUGCGACGCCACCUGUUGUUCAAACUUGGUCUUCCAUCGUGUCCCUAGAAGUGCCACCACAUCCUCGUUCUCCUGGUGGAGUGUGUGACAGUGGUUGAUGAGCGGUUUAUCAUCGGUCGGCGUUUUUUUUUUCUUCUUCCUUUUGUUCUCUCUCUCUCAGAGUAAGUACAUGUUUGUCCUUUUUUUUUUCAAUUCCAAUCCUUAUGUUUUGGUUGGCUUAAUUUUAUUCUUGAUCCUUUUACAAAUUUUUUUUUUAUGAUUUCAAUUCAGUUUUUAAAUUAUAAUUUUUCAUAUUUUUUUUUUUAAUUUGAUCCUUAUUUUUUUGAUUUCUCAUUUUGAUCAUUGACUCUUUUGUUAGAGUUUUGUUGGUUUUCAAUUUUGUCUUUCAAUCAACAUUUAUGUUUUUUUUUUAAUUUUUCCCUCAUUCUUUUGAUUUCUUUUUCCUUUUAUUGAAGUUUUUUUUUCUUCAAUUUAAUUUUUUUAGAUGCCCUUGUUUUUUUAAUUUCAAUUUUCACCCUCAUUCUUUUAAUUAUAUUUUUUAUGUGGUCGAUUUUUUCCCCGUUCACACCCUUCAGUGUUUGUUUUUUCAGGAUUAUAUUUCAUCAUUUUUCUAUUUUUCAUCCUUGAUCCUUUUACAAAAAAAAUUUAUGAUUUCAAUUCAGUCUUUAAAUUAUAAUUUGUCAUAUAUUUUUUUUUAAUUUGAUCUUUAUUCUUUUGAUUUCUCAUUUUGAUCAUUGACUCUUUUGUUAGAGUUUUGUUGGUUUUCAAUUUUAUCUUUCAAUUAACAUUUUUAUUUUUUUUAUUUUUCCCUCAUUCUUUUGAUUUCUUUUCCUUUUGUUGAAGUUUUUUUUUUCUUCAAUUUAAUUUUUUUAGAUGCCCUUGUUUUUUUAAUUUUAAUUUUCACCCUCAUUCUUUCAAUUAUAUUUUUUAUGUCGUCGAUUUUUUCCCUGAUCACACCCUUUGGUGUUUGAUUUUUCGGGAUUAUAUUUCAUCAUUUUUCUAUUUUUCAUCCUUGGUCCUUUUACAAAAAACAUUUAUGAUUUCAAUUCAGUCUUUAAAUUAUAAUUUGUCAUAUAUUUUUUUUUUCAAUUUGAUCCUUAUUUUUUUGAUUUCUCAUUUUGAUCAUUGACUUUUUUGUUAGAGUUUUGUUGGUUUUCAAUUUUGUCUUUUAAUCAACAUUUAUGUUUUUUUUUUUAUAAUUUUUCCCUCAUUCUUUUGAUUUUUUUUCCUUUUGUUGAAGUUUUGUUUUCUUCAAUUUAAUUUUUUUAGAUGCCCUUGUUUUUUUAAUUUUAAUUUUCACCCUCAUUUUUUUAAUUAUAUUUUUUAUGUAGUCGAUGUUUUCCCCGAUCACACCCUUCGGUGUUUGAUUUUUUGGGAUUAUAUUUCAUCAUUUUUCUAUUUUUCAUGCUUUUGAUUUAAUCAUACGAGUCACAUGUUUUAAGUGUUAAUAUGAUUAGUUUUCCCUCAUUUUCUUUUAUGAUUUUAUCAUUCUACAUUAUUUGUUUUUGAAAAAAUAGAUUUGUAGUUAGCUUCAAUUUCUAUUCAAUUGAUUUGUCUCGAUCUCAUUACUUAUACCACAGGUUUCACACGUCUUUUUUGGAUGAAGAUUUUUUUAUUUUAUUGUAUGCAGAUAAGUUUUGUUUUGUAAAAAAAAUAGUUAUUUUGAAAUAAUAUUUUGAAUAUGUUCAUCCAUGCAUAUUUUGUUUUCCUUUUAUUUUAUUAACUCAGUUUCAUAUGUGUUUUUAUUUCUAUUAUCUUUGGUUGAUUUUAAUAAAUAAGUUUAGUGGACACAAACGAGUAAAUUAUUUUAAUCUACAUUCAUCUAUCAAUUUUUUCGCUUUCUCUUUUAGUUAUUAUUAACGAAUUUUUUUAUUUAUAUGCAUAGAUUAUUAUUAGAUGUUUGGAUAAACUUUUUGAUUUAUACUUAGAAUUCUUUUUAUGUAAAAAUACAUAUCAAAAUAGUCUUUGUAGUCGAGUUUUUUUCUUAAAAAUAAAUUACAACCCGUUAUAGAGCGCAGGUCAGAUCAAAUUUUUAUUUCUCUCUAAUUGCUUUUUUUCGCUCUCAUAUUUUUAGAUGCUUUUUUUUUUCAUGAAUUCAUUUUCUAAACAUUUGAUUUAUUAGAGAUUCAGUGUCAUAUGAUCUUAUCGUUCUGCAAUUGUUUUUAUUUUUUUAAAAAAUAUUGGUUUGGUGGUUAUUUUCAAUUUCUUUUCUAUGAGUUUAUUUUGAUCUCAUGAUCUAAGUCACGAGUUUUGCAUGCUAUUUUUUAAUAUAAGGGUUUUUUUAGAAUUAUUUUGUUUGAGUUUGAUUUUUCAAGAUAUUAUCCUAAUUCAUUUAUAAUUCUUUUUUUAUUUAUACAAAGGAAGUUUAUUUUUAAAAAUAAAAAAUAUUCAUUUUUAAAUAAUAUUAUUGAUUUAUUUGGCCUUGCAUAUUUUUUAUAAGACGUGAGUUUAUUCAAUCAUUUUUAUUUGUGUUUAUCUUUUAAGUCAUAAAUUUUUUAGGAUAUGAAUAUAUCUUUUAUUGAUUAAGUAAACAAACUUAGUCAACAUAAUCGAGUGAAUGUCUUAUUUUGUGUGAUUAAAUAUCUUAAUCUGCAUUUAUCUCUUAAUUUUCUCAAUCUCUCUUUUGGUUAUUGUCAAUGAUUUUUUUUCUCAUUUAUUUACAUAAAUAAUUAUUGAUUUAUUUAAUUAGAUGGCUUUUCAAUUUACACUUUAAUUGUUUUAUGUUAAAAAACACAAAAAAACAACCUACAUAUCCAAUAUUUUUUUGGAAAAAAACCCACGACAUAACACGAGUUAAAUGACUAGUUUGAGUGCUAUGCAGAGUGGAAACGAAUUAGAACUUUGUCUUUUGGUACAAAUAUUUUAAUUGGAUAGGUUGUGUUUGAUUACUAAACAGCAGAGACAAACACUAAGAGUAUGAGACAUAGAACAAAAAUUUACUUCAAAACUGUUUUAACAGAUUUAUUUUAUGUCUUUCUUCAUCUCUCUAACUAAAUAUAUUUUUAUCUUUUAGAUAGUAUUUAAUUACUAUCACAUGAUAAAAGAAACAAAAAUAUUUUUAGUUAAAAAGAUAGAGAUAUAAAAAUAAAUUUGUUCCUUGAUAAGUUUAGAAUGAGUUUCUAUACUUCCAAAACAGGAGGUGUAAAGAGGGCAUGUCUUCAAAUAUAAUAUUUUUUAUUCAUAAAAUAUCAUUGUAAAAAACUUUCAAUUCUAAAAUUAUCAAACUAAGAUAUGUAUGGAUAAAAAUAAUUAUUAUCAUAGUUUUAAAACUUAACUUGAGGGUCAAUACGAAACAAAGUCUAGGUCAUAAUUCGGGAGAGUCAACUUGGAUUGACUUAGGUAAAAGUAAGAAUAAAAAUUAUUAUUAUUAUAAUUUUAAAACCCGACCCAGGGUUGAUCUAGGAUAAAGCUUAGGUCAUAGAUUUGAAGAGUCAACUCAAAUUGACCGGGUUCAUAUAAGAAUAAAAAAAAUUAUUAUCAUAGUUUUAAAACACGACUCGAGAGUUUACUCGAGACGAAGUUUGGAUCACGGGUCGAGAGGGUCAACUGGGUUGAUUUGUGUCAACGUAUAGAUAAUAGUGAUUAUUAUUAUAAUUUUAAAACUCGAUCUGAGAGUUGAACAAGACAAUGCCCGGGCCAGGAGGACAACCUAAAUUGACCCAAAAUCUUUUUUUUUAAAUAAUAAUAAUCAAAGUACUUUGUUUUGACAAAAACAAUUUUAAAAAGUCAACAUAUUUUUUAUCUAUAUUUUAUUUUAGAUCGAACCAGAUUUUUACCCCAUCAAGUCAGAUCAAUUUUCCCUUUAUGUUUUUAAAUUCAGAUUAGUUCAGGUCCAUAUCUUGGGUCAGCUGGGUAUCACAUCAACCUGACGGGAGAGCUCCCUAGAGGUAAGAAAUGAUGCCUCAGGGAGAUAAAACAAGAGAAAGUCCUUUUUUUGACAUGAAAUUUCUCACGGUGGAAAACAACAGCUAAAGCCCCUGUCAUUUGCAGCAGGGCAGCCAGUGUAAUAGCAUGCAUGGAACAACGCAAACGAAUUGCGUGAAGAAACAUAGCUAUAAAAGAGGGCACUGCAAACAAGAAGCACAUAAUAUUUUGCUUUCCUGAGCUCCACUGUCUACAUAACAAGCAAGAGUGAGAUGGUCUUAAGACCUUAAGACCGACCCACUUCUUAUAUUUUACAAGAAGUCUUUAUUUUGAUUACAAUCACAUUCUUCAUCCAUUCAUUUUCGCAUUCAUGAAAUCAUAGAAGUAUCAUUAUUACCUUCAUGGUUUGGUACACACACAGAAGCAGUAGCUAAACUGCUGGAUCGAACUCGGUCCAAGCAAGAUUUCCCAUCCAGCUUGUUGCUUUGCUGAAGUUCCAGGUAGUCUUUGUAUUUCAUGCCAACGUAUGCUGCUGGUUCAUUGCCUUUACUGCUCACUAAUAACUCUGUUGCUGGGCUAACGACUGAGUCUAGUGAUGGUCCAUGUAUCAUAGCUAUGGAUAUCCUUGUAGCCUUGCUGUUCACCAUUGCUCGGUGCAGAACACUCUUGUACCUUCCAUUGCUCAAAAUCUAGUAACAAAAAAACACGAACUUCACAUUUUUAACAGGAUUAUUAAGCCUUAGGAAUCUUGGAUCGACUCCAAGCCUAACUGUAAAAAAGGAUAACAUGACCAGGAAGUCAGAAUGCACCUCAAGGUGAUCUCCAGUGUUAACCAGGAAGGAGUUGGGGAGGGCACAGACAUUGACCCACUUCCCUUCGUGUUGAAUUUGAAGGCCACCAAUUCCAUUGUAGAUUAGAAGUGUCAACAAGCCAUGAUCUGAAUGAGGGGGCAAGCCCAUUGCAAGCUCUGGCUGUGGACAAGUUGGAUACAAGUUUGCAACAAAUAUUUGUUUCCCCUGUUCCAAAUUCAGUGCCUUGUCUAUAUAGCUUCCUUCCAAUCCCAAACUUUCGGAUAUUCCUUUCAGUAACCCCCUUGCUACUUCUCUAACUCUUUGGGAGUACUCUAAUGAAAUCUCACUACAUAAAAAAAGAUCCAACCAAAAACUUGAAAUUCUAUAAGCUUAAGAUUCCUCUACUUUAAUCAUGAUUUUUCUCACAAGAUUCUGUCUUAUCUCAAAAGAAAAAGAAUAUCUUUUCACCUUUGAAUUCACUUGAACGGAACACGCAUUAGAACUAAAAGCUACUAAUGAAGGGGGUAAUGAUCGUUUUAUUUACCUGAGGCCAGCAGGUUUGGUAGGUGAGUAGAACACAGGAUGUACAAAGAACUUAAGAAAAUCCCUCCAAUAGAAAGCCUUUUCCACUGAAACAUUACAGCUGGUGCCAGACCUUAUUGGGUCCAAUACAUGGUUCCCUUUAAACUCUUGCUUCUCCUCUUCUGGCAGAUCAAAAAAACCUUUACACCCAUCCAGUAUCGAGCUGAGAAGGUUCUCUGGCACCCCAUGAUUGAUCACCUAAUAAUUAAGAAAUAUGAAGGAUGGAAGUUUCUUUUACGUUAUAAAUCAAAGAAAAAUACCUAGUUCUCUUGCUCUGUUUUUCGCAUUUGCAUUCCCCAGUUAUAUAUCUAAUAACUUUUACUUAUAUUUAAUAGUUUGUUUAAAGUUUUUUACAAAUGAAUAUGUGUAACAAAAUACAGAGCAUGGCAUGCACUUGUCAACUAGUUCAGUCCUCAAAGUUGCUGAGAGAGUCAUUCGACAUCACGUCAAGCCAUCAAAGAUCAAAUUUCUAUAACAUGAAGAGCUUUACUUGCUACAUGAAAAGAGAUGAGAUAUACCAUGAAGAAGCCCCAGUCCUGACAGGCUCUGCCAAGUUCAUGAACUGUUUUAGACCGUUGAUCGGGAGUGCCUGAAAUAAGAAGAGAGUAAUCUAUGACAGGAAUGGAUCCUUCUGGGACACAAAUUACCUGGUCAUGGAGAUCAGGAGUGAAGGUGUGAGUGGCGGGGAUGGAGGUGAGACCAGGAGAUUCAGCUAACGUUUUGAUGCUUGAUAUCUUGGUAGGUUGACUAGGAAAUGCUUGGGAGGGAAGAAGGGAAGCUGUUUCAGCUGCCAUUGAGAGAGGGAUAAGAAGUGAGAGAGAGCUGAAUGAUUUGGAUGUGGG
rnacentral:lncRNA from 1 species